UACGGAGGGUGCAAACGUUGCUCGGAAUUAUUGGGCGUAAAGCGCACGUAGGCGGACUAUCAAGUCGGAUGUGAAAGCCCUCAGCUUAACUGAGGAAGUGCACUCGAAACUGACAGUCUUGAGUACGGGAGAGGGUCGCGGAAUUCCCGGUGUAGAGGUGAAAUUCGUAGAUAUCGGUGGGAACGCCAGUGGCGAAAGCGGCAGACUAGACCCUUCCUGACGCUGAUGCGCGAAAGCUAGGGGAGCAAACGGG
rnacentral:rRNA from 1 species